rnacentral:rRNA from 1 species
UACGUAGGGGCCUAGCGUUGUCCGGAAUUAUUGGGCGUAAAGAGCUCGUAGGCGGUUCGGCAAGUCGGAUGUGAAAUCUCCACGCUCAACGUGGAGGGGCCAUUCGAAACUGCCGUGACUCGAGUCCGGUAGGGGAGUGUGGAAUUCCCGGUGUAGCGGUGAAAUGCGCAGAUAUCGGGAGGAACACCAGUGGCGAAGGCGGCUCACUGGCCCGGUACUGACGCUGAGGUGCGAAAGCGUGGGGAGCAAACAGG